AGAUGUGUAUAAGAGACAGGUAUGGGAGUGAGAAUGUUGGCAUGAGUAGCGAGAUGUGGGUGAGAAUCCCACAGGCCGUAAACCCAAGGUUUCCAGGGGAAGGUUCGUCCGCCCUGGGUUAGUCGGGACCUAAGCUGAGGCCGAAAGGCGUAGGUGAUGGACAACAGGUUGAUAUUCCUGUACUACCGAUAACCGUUUGAGAGAAGGGAUGACACAGUAGGAUAAGCUAAGCACACUGUUGGUUAUGUGUGCCCAAGCAUUGAGGCAGUCAAAGUAGGCAAAUCCGCUUUGAUAAUGCUGGGAUGUGAUGGGGAGCGAAAUUUAGUAGCGAAGUAGCUGAUUUCACACUGUCAAGAAAAGUCUCUAUCGAGGUUAAAGGUACCCGUACCGCAAACCGACACAGGUGGGUGAGGAGAGUAUCCUAAGGCCAGCGAGAGAACUGUUGUUAAGGAACUCGGCAAAAUGACCCCGUAACUUAGGGAUAAGGGGUGCCACCAUCAGGUGGCCGCAGAGAAUAGGCCCAAGCGACUGUUUACCAAAAACAUAGGUUUCUGCUAAGUCGCAAGACGAUGUAUAGGAGCUGACGCCUGCCCGGUGCUGGAAGGUUAAGGGGAUCUGUUAGAGCAAUCGAAGCAGUGAACUUAAGCCCCAGUAAACGGCGGCCGUAACUAUAACGGUCCUAAGGUAGCGAAAUUCCUUGUCGGGUAAGUUCCGACCCGCACGAAAGGCGUAACGAUUUGGGCACUGUCUCAACAACAGACUCGGUGAAAUUGUAAUUCCGGUGAAGAUGCCGGAUACCUGCGACAGGACGGAAAGACCCCAUGGAGCUUUACUGUAGCUUGACAUUGGGUCUUGGUACUACAUGUACAGGAUAGGUGGGAGGCUUUGAAACCAGGACGCCAGUUUUGGCGGAGCCAUCCUUGGGAUACCACCCUUGUAGUACUGGGACUCUAACCAUAGGCCAUGAAUCUGGUCUUGGGACACUGUCAGGUGGGCAGUUUGACUGGGGCGGUCGCCUCCCAAAAGGUAACGGAGGCGCUCAAAGGUUCUCUCAGUACGGUCGGAAAUCGUACGUAGAGUGUAAAGGCAAAAGAGAGCUUGAUUGCAAGACAUACAGGUCGAGCAAGGAUGAAAAUCGGACUUAGUGAUCCGGUGGUUCUGCGUGGAAGGGCCAUCGCUCAACGGAUAAAAGCUACCCUGGGGAUAACAGGCUUAUCUCCCCCAAGAGUCCACAUCGACGGGGAGGUUUGGCACCUCGAUGUCGGCUCAUCACAUCCUGGGGCUGUAGUAGGUCCCAAGGGUUGGGCUGUUCGCCCAUUAAAGUGGUACGCGAGCUGGGUUCAGAACGUCGUGAGACAGUUCGGUCCCUAUCCGUCGCAGGCGUAGGAAAUUUGAGAAGACCUGUCCUUAGUACGAGAGGACCGGGAUGGACGUACCUCUGGUGUACCAGUUGUCCUGCCAAGGGCAUGGCUGGGUAGCUAUGUACGGAAUGGAUAAGCGCUGAAAGCAUCUAAGCGCGAAGCCAACUUCAAGAUAAGAUUUCCCACCGCAAGGGUAAGACCCCAGAAAGACUAUCUGGUUGAUAGGUCGAAGGUGUAAGUGCAGCAAUGUAUUUAGCUUAUCGAUACUAAUAGGUCGAGGACUUGACCAA
rnacentral:rRNA from 1 species